CAUACAAGGCGAGCCUACAGCCGUAAGCGUCCCUUAAUAUUCCAGGAAAGAAUUCCAGCAUCCACUGCCUCUUCACUGAGCCAAGCUAGAGCGACUCCAUGCAACAUUUGGCAAGUUAUAACAAAUGACUGCUCUGUUGCUAGUUGCUGCAGACCUCUCUCCUGUCUGAGUCGGUGCCAUCACAGUUGCCAAGGCAACCAGAAGGCAGCAUGAAAGCUGGAAUACGAGAGGCAGUGAUGGAGAGGCGCAGCCUGGCACAGGGCCCAAUCCCAGCAGCAGCACACCACCACCCAGUGUUUGCCUCCAUUUCUCUGAGUGUGAGUCUGUGUUUGUGUGUGCCUCUGUGUGUGAUUGCAUGUGUCUUUUACUGUAUAGGCACAUCACAGUAAAGAUGUCUGCCUAACCUUCAUCUAAAGAGGAAGAAUCAUUCAGAAAAAAUGGCCUCUGGUGCCCUUGACCUUAGGACUGUCCCUCAUGUGCCCUGCCCCCUACACAUCUCCCCAAGUGGCCAUUGUUGAGCUGUCGGCGUUAACUCUUUAUGCCCUCCACGUGGUCUCCUCACUCAGCAGCACAGUCCUCGCCUUUCACACCGCUGUGGCGGGCCACACCAACCCUGUCUGCAUGUGAACACCCCACGGCAACCCUGUCUGCAUGUGGACGCCCCACAGGACUUUGUUUGUUUCACAUAAUGCGAACUUACAGAGUGAAUGCCAUUCCCACACCCUCCAUCUUAGGUUUCCUGCUCUUUUGUUUUUCUGCAGUGACUUUUGUCCCCAUACACUGAUUGGGGGGGGAGGUCCAAGCAGACAGUGACUCUUCUCACAGUUGGAGUGCUGAUAUCAUUAUGCGAUUCAUAAGAUUAUAAUGGGUAUGGAGGUUGAAUGGGAACCUAAAUUUGAUAACACAACACUUUUAUUCUUUGUUAGCAAACAUUUAUUUUUUUCUCUCCAAAUGGGUUUGUAGCUAAUUAGAUACCUGUGUAGGUGUUCAAAGAAAACAAGCAUUCCAGUUUCCCUGUGUGUUGGAAAUGAAUAUCAGGAGCACAAGGGAUGCAACAGCAAACCGAUUAACUUAACACUAGGCCAUACUGCUGUGUCAUCCUUCAUGCUGCGAGAAGAAGAAAUGUUUCUCUAUUCUUAUGCACAGGCUGCGAUCACGUACGAUAAUUCACUAGGCAACAUGCACAGCUUACCAUAUCCAAAAUCUGGUUGCAUAUAUGAAACAAUUUAUUUGAAUGCAUGUUUUUUGCUACUGUGUUUUUGUUCAGAGAAAAUUUACCUUCUGGCCCGACAGGUCUGUCAGAAAGGCGGGGUGUGAAAUCUGCUCUGGAUGAUGCUUGGCAUCGUCUUCCAUUCGCCAUCUUCUGCUUGAGUCUUCCGCCAGAUCCUAAGGCAGAGCCUAAGCCCAGAGAGGGCAAAUAAUUACUGUAAAUAGUCAUUGUGGAUAUACCCAGUCAUUCUGGAUAUGCUCCGUGAUACGGAAUGGGACGUGAACAAAGCUGAUGGAUUGAAUUAGGUUCUUUAGUCAAGGGAUGUGCACACAAUGAAGUGAAAGAGAAUGGCAGGAGAGGGCUAGGUCAGUGUGAGUGAUGGAUGAUUGCUGUCUUUAGAAGGGGCUACUGUCUGGAAAUGUUUCUCAGAUCCUCUGGCUGCUGAUGGCCUGCCAGACAAACGCAGUGGCACUCCAUGUAAUGGAAUCAAGCACUUGAGUAACAAUGAGAGCACACAUUUAUACACUAAAUUCUCUCUCACACACACAUUCGCACUCGCUCUCAUUUUUACACAAUCAUUCAUUUGUCAAAUCAGUUACUCCCUUUGCAAAUGAAUAAAACUGCCAUUACAUCCAUGGGUUGUUUUUAGUGCGUUUAUGUACUUAAUCCAUGAGCCUGUACACUUUUCAUUUUCAAUAUAAUAUUAUUGUGUCAAUAUUGUUUCAGCAGUACAAGAAAAUUCACCCUAAUUAAUGUCCUUAGUGGAAACACAAAAUUUAUCUCAAGUAAAACAAUGCCACUGUUGUUCAGGUCAAAAACCAAAUACCACAAAGUGGUAUUAGUAGCACUGUGCAUCUAUUUUGUAAUACCAGUUUCAAUCCAUUCCAGAUUGGCCUCCUGGUAAUACAGCAUUACCAGGCUAUGCGAUGUUUUAUCAUGGCCCAAGCCUUGCUUCCUUCCCCAGCUAUUUUCCUCACCACUCCUUCAGUUCGUCAUCUUAAUGGUUAAGGAAGCCAUCGUCCCUACCAACAGCAGGUGAUAACCACUGUAUUAACAAUUGAGGGCUUAUUCAGAAAUUAAAAGAGCAAAUGAACUGCUCACACUUGGCACAGGCUCCUUCUUGGCCCACGGAUGCUCUCUCGGUGUCCUGGCAACCGGUAAACAAGGGGACAGAGAGCGAGCUUCCCUCCACAGUUCACAUAAUGGACUCCUGAUCGGUGGUGCUUUAGCAUGCUAAUCAUACUGAGAGAGAGGCGCAUACAACGCACAGGCGUCCCACAGCACCUCAACAAACACACUCCAGCGGGACUGGGACUCUGCCAGGCAGAGAUAACCCACAUCUAUCAGCGCAUUUACAUUUUAGACAUGUGAAAAUGGCCAUUGCCCUGUGUGCUCCUGGACAUGCAAGCUGAAUUUUCAGCUCUGAGUGAAAAACAACAAAACACACAAACAAAAUGAAACAGACAGGCAAAAAGGGCCGUUUAACUUGGCUUCAUAUGAAGUGCAAGGUUCUGCGUAAUGUACAAGUUAUUUAGGUGAAGUACACAACUGUGGAGUGAGAAGCAGUAAAGGAAGGAGCUAUGACAGACACACAAUACACUGCGCCAUUUCGCUAUAGCUUGUCAGGUGUGCUUCAUAUGUGCCGCGGGACAGCUAUGUUGUCUGUUUGAAACCACUGCUGCUAGUCAAAUGUCUCUUUGGC